rnacentral:lncRNA from 1 species
UGUCAGAUUUGCUCUUAAUGCUUUGGUUUUUGAGUUAUAAACCAAAAACUGCAUUUUACCCCUAUGUUCUAUUUUAAGCCAUGGCGGCCAUUUUGGUUGGAUGACCGAGUCACCGGACACAUUUUUAAACUAGAUACCCCAAAGAUGAUUGUGGCCAAGUUUGGAUUAAUUUGGCCCUGUAGUUUCAGAGGAGAAGAUUUUUGUAAAAGAUUACUAAGAUUUACGAAAAAUGGUUAAAAAUUGAUUAUAAAGGGCAAUAACUCCUAAAGGGGUCAACUGACCAUUUCGGUCAUGUUGACUUAUUUGUAAAUCUUACUUUGCUGAACAUUAUUGCUGUUUACAGUUUAUCUCUAUCUAUAAUAAUAUUCAAGAUAAUAACCAAAAACAG